AUGUACCACCACUUGUACACACACUACCCUGUAGAAACUACUUCUGUAGAAACUACUACCCUGGGAACCACUUCUGAAAAAACUACUACCCUUGGCUUUGCUUCUGUUGAAACUACACCUUCAGUUAGUUCAACGCAAGUAGUAUUGGAAACAUCCACAUUUGAAAUGAGAACUGCUGAAACAUCAACCUCAGUUGGAUCUACGCCUGACAUAACAUCUGCCGUUAAUAGCACAACGUCUCAAACUGCCACUUGGCACCACUAUUGCAGAAACCACUAUCAUUGGCACCACUUGUGUGAUAAAAACAACUAUGACAGAUACCGAUUCCUUAGAAUGUACCACCACUUGUACACACACUACCCUGUAGAAACUACUACCCUGGGAACCACUUCUGUAGAAAGUACUACCCCUGUCACCACUUCUGAAAAAACUACUACCCUUGGCACUGCUUCUGUUGAAAUUACACCUUCAGUUAGUUCAACACAAGUACUAUUGGAAACAUCCACAUUUGAAAUGAGAACUGCUGAAACAUCAACCUCAGUUGGAUCUACGCCUGACAUAACAUCUGCCGUUAAUAGCACAACGUCUCAAACUGCCACUUGGCACCACUAUUGCAGAAACCACUAUCAUUGGCACCACUUGUGUGAUAAAAACAACUAUGACAGAUACCGAUUCCUUAGAAUGUACCACCACUUGUACACGCACUACCCUGUAGAAACUACUACCCUUGGCACAACUCCUGCAGGAACUACUACCCUUGGCACAACUCCUGAAGAAACUACUACUCUGGGCACCAGUUCUGUAGAAAGUACUACCCUUGGCACUGCUUCUGUUGAAACUACACCUUCAGUUAGUUCAACGGGAUUAGUAUUGGAAACAUCCACAUUUGAAAUGAGAACUGCUGAAACAACAACCUCAGUUGUAUCUAUACCUGGCAUAGCAUCUGCUGUUGGAAGCACAACUUCUCAAACUGCCACUUGGCACCACCACUGCAGAAACAACUAUCAUUGGCACCACUUAUGUGAAAAAAACAACUAUGACCGAUACCGAUUCCUUAGAAUGUACCACCACUUGUACACACACUACCCUGUAGAAACUACUACCCUGGGAACCACUUCUGUAGAAACUACUACCUUUGGCACAACUCCUGCAGAAACUACUGCCCUUGGCACAACUCCUGAAAAAACUACUACUCUGGGCACCACUUCUAAAGAAACUACUACCCUUGGACCUGCUUCUAUUGAAACUACACCAUCAGUUAGUUCAACGGUGUUAGUAUUGGAAACAUCCACAUUUGAAAUGAGAACUGCUGAAACAACAACCUCAGUUGUAUCUACACCUGGCAUAGCAUCUGCUGUUGGAAGCCCAACAUAUCAAACUGCCACUUGGCACCAGCACUGCAGAAACCACUAUCAUUGGCACCACUUGUGUGAUAAAAACAACUAUGACAGAUACCGAUACCUUAGAAUGUACCACAACUUGUACACACACUACCCUGUAGAAACUGCUCCUGCAGAAACCACUACCCUGGGAACCACUUCUGUAGAAACAACUACUCUGGGCACCACUUCUACAGAAACUACUUACCCUACUACGUGA
ensembl:lncRNA